rnacentral:rRNA from 1 species
GACGAACGCUGGCGGCGUGCCUAAUACAUGCAAGUCGAACGCAGUGGGGACGGGUGAGUAACACGUGGGUAACCUCCCAUCAGAGGGGAUAACACUUGGAAACAGGUGCUAAACCGAUCCUGAUGGAUGGACCAGCUGUGCAUUAGCUAGUUGGUGAGGUAACGGCUCACCAAGGCCACGAUGCAUAGCCGACCUGAGAGGGUGAUCUGCAACACUGGGACUGAGACACGGCCCAGACUCCUACGGGAGGCGGCAGUAGGUAGUCUUCGGCAAUGUACGAAAGUCUGGCCGAGCAACGCCCCGUGAGGGAAGAAGGUUUUCGGAUCGUAAAACUCUGUUGUUAGAGAAGCGGGAUCUAACCAGAGAGCCGCGGCUAACUACGUGCCAGCAGCCGCGGUAAUUC